GAUUGAAACUUCCAAAGGCGACGUUACUCGAGCAACAUACUUCCCUGGACUUCCCACGUUCUUCACCUUUCGAUUGAUCGUCACAGGGCCUGUUUUCAAAUCCGCGACUGAGAUGGAUGGAUAAUUAAGCCUCGAGAGCACAAGAAAUUUAGGUAAUCGUCGAUUGUAAUGUCGUAAACGAGGCCAGGGUCCAUCGCGCUGUUUGGAUGAACAUGUCCUGCGCCGUAUGCUAAUGGAGUUGCUAUCACUCCGUCGAGGUCGACAAUUGGAUGGUUUUGAGAAGGCCUACAAUGCCAGAAACAUGGGGGCAAGACAUGGAUGUGCCAGAGUAUACCAUAAAAGGACCUCGACGAUCAUCAACGGGCAGAUUUGCCAAUGGUAUUCCAUCGGGGAUCUGGUCCUAAGUUUCCAGCCGAACAAACAACAACGAUGCCAUGCUGAACUGCAUGAAAGGCCCCUAUAGAUAGCCCAUCGUCUAGGAAGUCUGAGGGAAUUGCACCAAGAGAAGCUGAGAUAACGUCAACCCCAUCACCAAUGGCAGCUUCGAAGGCAGCUAAGAUAUCCACGUCAAAACACCCUCCACCUUCCGCUUCCCAACAGACCUUGUAGGACGCAACACGGGCUCGAGGUGAGCCACCUUUGGCAGUUCCAUUUGCGUAGCCAAAAACAUUAGCUCCAGAGACAAAGUUGCCCCCAGCCGUGGAUAAAGUGUGGGUUCCGUGGCCUUGAUGGUCCCUUGGAGAAUUGAGGCUGCCAUUGAGUGGACCAUUGGCUAAGUUAAAGAACCUUGCUCCAAUUAGCUUCCUGCAUAUAUUUAAGGUAUGCAUUUCAAAUCUACUACACCAUAAUGAAAGAAAACGAGAUAUAUAUUGGAUGAAUUGAAGCUCUUGACCUGUUGCAAUGGAAGUUGGGGUCAGCGCCACUUCGACAACUGCCCAGCCACCUUGAAGGGACGGGCCCAUAUCCUUCGUCACUGAAGCUCUUAGAUUCUGGCCAAACACCUAUGUUCCAAUUGCAUGAAGUUACAGGAAAACACAACGGCAACAUAGUCCUAACAAAAAACAAUGACAGAGAACAAAAAAAAAAAAAAAAAAAAAAAAAAACGAACCUGUGUCAAUGUUAGCUAUAAUUGCAUCUUUACCAAACCUUGUAACAUUCCAAAUAGAGUCGGAAGGAACUCCUUGUGUUUCUAGUCCAAGAAAAUCCCAUGAUCUUGUUGUGUGUAGUUGUCUCUCCUUAUUUUCAAAAACAGAAAUCACAUUUGGAAUUCCUACCAUAUAUUUGUACCAUGUCAGUUUCAAGCUUAUUUGACCAAGGGAAUAACCUAUUGACUUCAAGAACAUAUGAACAAUUUACUUGCAAGAUCUGCGGCUUGUUUUUCAUUGAGCAUUGCGGCGAAGCCAUUGAUAUAUCUGUUGUAUGAGUAGAAAAUAGCUUCCUUGGCUAUCUCUUUGCUGCACAAUGAAUGGAGAAGGGUAACAAAUAGUGAGAAUAAUCAUUGUAAGAAACCAAGCCCGAUGAAUCUAAAGUGCUUCACCUUCCCAACACUGAUCCUAGUAAAUCAUAAUGAGAUUUUGUUACAAGUUGGAGAUCCAACGAGGAAGGACUCGAACCAUGAGAAUGUGAUCCGAGGUAUACGAUGUAUGGCUGCAUGAGAAAAAGAGAAUUAGAUGAAACAAAUAUUGAGUUUUCGAAAUGGGAAAUAAAACGAAAGAGUUUGCCUUUUUAGUGGCAAUAGUCGAUGUUUGGAGAA